UACGUAGGGUGCGAGCGUUUGUCCGGAAUUACUGGGCGUAAAGAGCUCGUAGGCGGCUUGUCGCGUUGUCCGUGAAAAUUUACAGCUCAACUGUGAACUUGCGGGCGAUACGGGCAGGCUAGAGUACUGCAGGGGAGACUGGAAUUCCUGGUGUAGCGGUGAAAUGCGCAGAUAUCAGGAGGAACACCGAUGGCGAAGGCAGGUCUCUGGGCCACUACUGACGCUGAGAAGCGAAAGCAUGGGGAGCGAACAGG
rnacentral:rRNA from 1 species